rnacentral:rRNA from 1 species
AGUGAACGCUGGCGGUAGGCCUAACACAUGCAAGUCGAACGGCAGCACAGAGGAGCUUGCUCCUUGGGUGGCGAGUGGCGGACGGGUGAGGAAUACAUCGGAAUCUACUCUGUCGUGGGGGAUAACGUAGGGAAACUUACGCUAAUACCGCAUACGACCUACGGGUGAAAGCAGGGGACCUUCGGGCCUUGCGCGAUUGAAUGAGCCGAUGUCGGAUUAGCUAGUUGGCGGGGUAAAGGCCCACCAAGGCGACGAUCCGUAGCUGGUCUGGGAGGAUGAUCAGCCACACUGGAACUGCGACACGGUCCAGACUCCUACGGGAGGCAGCAGUGGGGAAUAUUGGACAAUGGGCGCAAGCCUGAUCCAGCCAGACCGCGUGGGUGAAGAAGGCCUUCGGGUUGUAAAGCCCUUUUGUUGGGAAAGAAAUCCAGCUGGCUAAUACCCGGUUGGGAUGACGGUACCCAGAGAAUAAGCACCGGCUAACUUCGUGCCAGCCGCCGCGGUAA